GGGCAGAAGGAAAAGAGGCUCCUAGCUAAAGUUGUCUCGCCCUGCUUCAAAACUACAGGGCGCGCGCUACGGCUUUGACCUAACGGCCUCCGUUUGCUGGAAUCCGAAUAGUUGAGAACAAUGUGGCGAAUGGGUGCGUAACGCGUGGGAAUCUGCCGAACAGGUCGGGCCAAAUCCUAAAGAAAGCUCAAAAGCGAUGUUUGAUGAGCCUGCGUAGCAUUAGGUAGUUGGUCAGGUAAAGGCUGACCAAGCCAAUGAUGCUUAGCUGGUCUUUUCGGAUUAUCAGCCACACUGGGAUUGAGACACGGCCCGGACUCCCACGG
rnacentral:rRNA from 1 species